GAACUCUGAUGCAUCGAUGCCGCGUGAGUGAAGAAGGCCUUUGGGUUGUAAAGCUCUUUUGUAGGGGAAGAUAAUGACUGUACCCUAAGAAUAAGGUCCGGCUAACUUCGUGCCAGCAGCCGCGGUAAUACGAAGGGACCUAGCGUAGUUCGGAAUUACUGGGCGUAAAGCGCGCGUAGGCCGUUGAGUUAGUUAAUUGUGAAAUCCCAAAGCUUAACUUUGGAACUGCAAUUAAAACUGCUCGACUAGAGUUUGAUAGAGGAAAGCGGAAUACAUAGUGUAGAGGUGAAAUUCGUAGAUAUUAUGUAGAACACCAGUUGCGAAGGCGGCUUUCUGGGUCAACACUGACGCUGAGGCGCGAAAGUAUGGGUAGCAAAGAGGAUUAGAUACCCUCGUAGUCCAUACCAUAAACGAUGAUUGCUAGAUGUUGGAAAUUUAUUUUCAGUAUCGCAGCUAACGCGUUAAGCAAUCCGCCUGGGGAGUACGACCGCAAGGUUAAAACUCAAAUGAAUUGACGGGGACCCGAACAAGCGGUGGAGCAUG
rnacentral:rRNA from 1 species